AAAGAGUGAAUCUUCGGCAAUGGACGAAAGUCUGACCGAGCAACGCCGCGUGAGUGAAGAAGGUCUUCGGAUUGUAAAGCUCUGUUAUUAGGGAAGAAAGAGAUUAGUAGGAAAUGACUAAUAAGUGACGGUACCUAAUGAGAAAGCCACGGCUAACUACGUGCCAGCAGCCGCGGUAAU
rnacentral:rRNA from 1 species